AUUAUUUGUGAUUUCAGACGUUGACGUUUUAAAGGGCAAAUUGGUGAUUCAUGCCUUCUCAAAGAGACACGUGUGCAACAGUUAAUUUUGCAAAUUGGAGUCUCAUCUAGACUCUUCUUCUUCCUACUAGACUGUUGCGAAAUUGCUUCUCAUUCUCACUUUCUCUGAUUUUUUUUGUGCAUCUCCAUCUGCUCUUUAAUCAUUUAUUGUUACUUUAGGAUUCACCAAGUGUAGCAUGUUGUGGGAAAAAACAUGCGAUGACUCCAACAAUGAAAACUACUUGAUAGUGAUCUUUGGGUGACUCAUAGUUGAAAGAUUGGAUUUUUACAGCCUGUCGAUAAUGUUGAUGGCGAUGAUAUUGAUCUCCUUGGAGAGGAUACAAAGGAAGAAAGAGAAGGCAACGGAAGCAAGGGAGGCGGCUAAUGCAUCUACCAAGAAGAAAGAUAGUGAGCUUUGAUAUUUCCUUCUUAGUUGCUUUUGUAUCCAAUGCACAAUUACUGUAGAAAGAAAAUGCAAAACAUAUCAGAACUUGAGUGUGGAAAAUAUGUUCCUUUAAUCAAGUAAAUCAUCAAUAUGCUUCAUUUUGUUAUGUUCUUACUUUUGUAGUUGAAAAGUUUUUCGUUCUUUUGGAAGUUAAGCCUUGGAAUGAUGAACUCACAUGAAGGGGCUGGAGGAGGUUGUUCGCAGUGUUUAGAUGGAAGUGCUUUUCUGGGGAAUAUGUAUGAUUUAUAAUUUCCAUUCCCUCUUUAACACACAUUACCAAAGUUCCUCUAGAGGAAUUAAUAUCAGCUGAAAUUCACCGUAAGCAAUUCAACAAAACUUAUGAACCAUUGAAAAGGUAAAACCUUCUUUUCCUAAUAUUUAUCUGGAUAAUCUUUUGUUUUGGGCGUAGAUCUUUGGUCCAAUGUGACAAUGCUGGUAAAGUUUUUAUUUUUUAUUUUUUAUUUUUUAUUGGAGGUAAUUUGUUAUACUAGUCGAAGGCUCUUUGCUAUAAAUUAAGGGUGCAGGUGAUCAUCAAGUGGUGGACUAUUCCUACAGCUGCCAAAUUGCAGUCCAUUUAUAGAGCAAUUCCAGCUAUUAUCAUGUGGGAGCUGUGAAAUAGAACAGAUUCAAUAAAGCAUGUAGGAAACAUAUCAUACAACAAAGUUCUAUGUGUACUUCAGCUUACCAUCAACAAGCUAAUCAGAUGUAGAUAUCCGUGGCUCACACAUGUUCCACCAGACUGACCAUCUUUGUCGACCUCGUCGGUCGUUUUGAGAAUCAAUGUUCUAUUCCGCGUGUCGUCUAUUCCAGAAGCUUCAUAACAAUUAUUUUGAUUUGCUUGCAAAAUUUAAGUCAAACGGAUAUAAUUUGGUUCACUUGUGGAGAAGGUUUCAUUUUGAAAAUUCUGAUAUUUAAGUAUUUGGAUGAAUUGCUUGUUUUUUGAAAACGUGCUCUGAUUGGCGAUCUGAAGAUUUCGUUAGAUUUGUAAUAUUAUUUAUGACCUGUAGAAAUUGACUGAGCUAAUUUUAGAGUUCGUUUGGUUGGUUUUUGACAAUUAAGUCGAUUUUAUUAUUUAAUGUGCCUAUGUAUGGUGAAAAGAUGGUCACGGAAGAAAUAAGACCCGAAUUGAAAAUUUAUUGGUUCCAUUAUCUUCGUAUUGAUGCUUACGACUUGCGGGAAUGAACAAAUCGAUUCCCGAAGCUUUUGGUUGAGUUUUGGGUAAGGAAAAGGAUAUUUUGGAAAUCCUUAAGUAAAGAUGUGAGAAUGGUUGACCAAAGUCAACACUAAGGGUAAAUGAGUCUUUUUUAAAGUUUCAUCGAUUCUAUUAGGUCCGGAAUGUGAUUAUUGAUUCAGUGGAGCCAUUGAUUCGGUUCUCGAGGGGUUCAAGUGUGGUUUGGGUCAUAGGUUGAGAAACCAGUUAAGUUAAGGAAUUGGAGUUGACCACGUUCAACUUCAGGUGAAGAAGACCCCGUGUUGUUGCUUUGAAUGUUCCAACAUGUUUUCGUAUAAUGAUUUUGGACUUGUCCGCAAGUUUUGGUGAGAUUCCAAUGAGUUUCAAAUGGAUUUGGGUUGUGUCGCGCUCGUAUUUGAAGUUUCAACGUCGUUUCUUUGCGCAUAAAAGGUACCAAUUGAGAAAAUGACCUCUCAAUUAUGUUUCGAUUGAACCAUUAAAUUAGCAUCGCAAUUACCGAGCCAUAGCAAAAGGAAUCGUUGAAUUUCGACGUCGUAUGAGGGAGUUAUGCCCAUUUUAGUGUCGGUGAAAUUGUUGUCUCUGGUGUGGUUGCGGGUGCGGAAAAAGGGCCGAAAAUGUGAAACUGCAGGGGCAAAUUGGUCUGCAGGUGCGGAAAUGCCAUGUGGCAGUCUGCAGGUGCGAAAUUUUGGGCCGCGGAAGCGGAAAUCAUUGAGUUAAAAUUUAGACUUCGUCCAUUUUGUAUUUUGAGCAUAUUUUGAGUUCUAGAGCUCCGUUUGAGGUGAUUUUCGCCUCGUUGUUCUCAUCUCAACGAGAGGGUUAGUAUCUAACCUCUAUUUUGGUGUUUCCCCAUGAUUAUUUCCAUCGGUUAUCGUUUUUAUUUGUGUUUGGGCUUGUAGAAGUUGGGGUUUUGAGACCUAAGAAUAAUAGAAUGAAAAAUCUCGAUUUGGGGAUCGACUCAUGGAUGAAAUUGGGUGAUUUUCUCUAUUUAGACGAUAUAAGUUAGUAAACCGAUUUUCAAAUAAAAUUCCGUUUUGGUCUUAGGGGCCCGGGAUUACCUUUUUGGGUUCGUUUUUGGAUUCCAAAUUAAAUAUAGCAAUAUGGGUAUCAUUGGAUUCAUUUAACUUUAUAGAGUACUAUUUGACUAUAUUGAACCCAAUUUUGUAAUGAAAUUACAGUUUUGACUUUUAGGGCUUAAGAUUGGCUUUUUGGGUGACUUUUUGGACCCAAAGUAUAAUCAUAACAAUAUGGGUGUCUAUGGAGUCAUAUACUUACAUAGAUUAUGUAUUUGAACAAUUUGGGAUCGUUCAGAGGCUUUGAAUAAGGGCAAGGUCGUGUUAUGAUUUCUUGAGUUUCGGACUUCAAAUCCGGCAAGUUGAGACUUUUCUUGACCCUAUUUAAAGUGUCGUGGUUGGUCAAAAUAGACUAAUAAAGAGGGAGUAAUGGGGAAACUAAGGGGUCCUGAUACUCGUGAGACGACGAGCACUUGUAUUGAGAAGCAGUGUCAUGUUAUGGGUAUUCGUGUAUGUUAGAGUAUUAUUGUUCGGUCUAAAUGCCAUACGUUGGGCAUUAGCUGAGAGCAUAGAUUGAUUUUGUGGUUCGUGAUUGGGACAUGAGAUUCCUUAUUUAUUGCUUCUAUGCUUAUUACCUGUCUUAACUAUCAUUAAGUGUUGUCAUCACUCCUAAGUAUCGUAUAAAAGUGGAAGAGCUAAAGAUUGAGCCUUUUAUUAUGUAGUCAUGUUGUUUAUUGUUGUGCAUGUCAUAUUCAUGCUUUCAUAUGGUAUCUCAUGAAUAUUACACGUGAAGAUACAUAUGAGAGGUCCGAGGGAAAAUGGUUCUGGACGGAGUGAUGUGGAUGAUAUGAGCCUGAUUGGCUAGAGACAGGUAAUGUGAGCCUAUUGGUUGACUAACGUGAUUGGAAGCCUAAAAUGGUUAAGAACCCUAAGGGAAAUGAUUUCGGGUGGUGUAUGGACCUCACAAGUCCCCUAUGGGCCAUGUAUUUAAUAUUGGAGUGUGUGUAUACCGGUGAUGGAAAGGCCUUGCAUUGCAUUUGCAUAUUAUAUCAUCUUAUGAACUCCUUGUUUGGAUGACUUGCCUAAAUUGUUGAUUGAAUCAUACUUAACUUGCUUAUUUGGCUACUCAAAUAACUUGUGGACUUAGAGAUGCCUCAUAUUUAGGCUUUAGGUUUGCAACUUAUGAUUACCCUUAUUAUUAUGUUGGACUAACCGCAGUUAAGCGUGGAAGUGGUAUUUGGAAGACCAACCCUCACCACCGUUUUAGUUUGUAGGUCGGUCGGCGAUCUUUUGUUGAGUACACGUUGAAUCCCCGUACUCACUCUACACUUGCUUCAUAUUUUUAUGUGCAGAGUCUGUCCCUCGCACUAAUGUAGCUUGAGGCUUCACCGAUUGUUAAGGAGCUUUUUUGGAGGAUUCGACGCGAGCUACUGGCUGAUCCGUGGCACCAGAUUCUCUCUCUCUUUUACAUUAUUCUGUCUUUUUUUCUAUUCAAACAUUGUAUUCAAAUGACAUCCUAGAUUUGUAUUUGCUAUCCUAAUAGUUCUUGUAUUUGUAACACCAUGUUUUGGUUGGUUGUACUUAUUCCGCAUAUUAUGAAUA